rnacentral:rRNA from 1 species
AACGCGAAGAACCUUACCUGGUCUUGACAUCCACAGAACUUUCCAGAGAUGGAUAGGUGCCUUCGGGAACUGUGAGACAGGUGCUGCAUGGCUGUCGUCAGCUCGUGUUGUGAAAUGUUGGGUUAAGUCCCGCAACGAGCGCAACCCUUAUCCUUUGUUGCCAGCGGUCCGGCCGGGAACUCAAAGGAGACUGCCAGUGAUAAACUGGAGGAAGGUGUGGAUGACGUCAAAUCAGCACGGCCCUUACGUCCGGGGCGACACACGUGUUACAAUGGGUGGUACAAAGGGCAGCUACUGUGCGAGCAGAUGCUAAUCUCCAAAGCCACUCCCAGUUCGGAUCGGAGUCUGCAACUCGACUCCGUGAAGCUGGAUUCGCUAGUAAUCGCGCAUCAGCCAUGGCGCGGUGAAUACGUUCCCGGGUCUUGUACACACCG